rnacentral:rRNA from 1 species
UGGCGGACGGGUGAGUAACACGUGGGAACGUGCCUUUAGGUUCGGAAUAACUACUGGAAACGGUUGCUAAUGCCGAAUGUGCCCUUCGGGGGAAAGAUUUAUCGCCUUUGGAGCGGCCCGCGUCUGAUUAGCUAGUUGGUGAGGCAAAAGCUUACCAAGGCGACGAUCAGUAGCUGGUCUGAGAGGAUGAUCAGCCACAUUGGGACUGAGACACGGCCCAAACUCCUACGGGAGGCAGCAGUGGGGAAUUCUGCGCAAUGGGCGAAAGCCUGACGCAGCCAUGCCGCGUGAAUGAUGAAGGUCUUAGGAUUGUUAAAUUCUUUCAUCGGGGACGAUAAUGACGGUACCCGGAGAAGAAGCCCCGGCUAACUUCGUGCCAGCAGCCGCGGUAAU